rfam:Gossypium hirsutum cultivar TM-1 scaffold5057.1_1, whole genome shotgun sequence
UAUUAAAAAUUUUAUCAAUUUUUUCUGUUAAAACUUAGCUUAGUUGACGAAAUAACCAAAUUGUUAGACGUGUAGUGCGACGUGUACCUCAUGUUAAUAUACAAAGACUAGUUUUUAACGGUAGAAAUGGAAGAAAUUUUUAACA